rnacentral:rRNA from 1 species
GAUGAACGCUGGCGGCGUGCCUAAUACAUGCAAGUCGAGCGAACAGACGAGGAGCUUGCUCCUCUGACGUUAGCGGCGGACGGGUGAGUAACACGUAGGUAACCUACCUAUAAGACUGGGAUAACUUCGGGAAACCGGAGCUAAUACCGGAUAAUAUUUCGAACCGCAUGGUUCGAUAGUGAAAGAUGGCUUUGCUAUCACUUAUAGAUGGACCUGCGCCGUAUUAGCUAGUUGGUAAGGUAACGGCUUACCAAGGCAACGAUACGUAGCCGACCUGAGAGGGUGAUCGGCCACACUGGAACUGAGACACGGUCCAGACUCCUACGGGAGGCAGCAGUAGGGAAUCUUCCGCAAUGGGCGAAAGCCUGACGGAGCAACGCCGCGUGAGUGAUGAAGGUCUUCGGAUCGUAAAACUCUGUUAUUAGGGAAGAACAAACGUGUAAGUAACUGUGCACGUCUUGACGGUACCUAAUCAGAAAGCCACGGCUAACUACGUG